rnacentral:lncRNA from 1 species
AAGCGGUGUUCUGUGAGGGCAGCCAGAUCAGCACAAAAUUCCGUGGAGCAGCUGUGCCGCAAGGUAUUCUUCAAAAUGACCCAGCAAUGCAAGAUGAAGGUACCCCUGUUUGCCUCGGUGUCUAUGAAACGCUUCCAAGUGAUUUGGAAUCACAAGAGAUGCCUCUCGCACCCAUCAGUAAUGAUGGCCCUCAACCUUCGGCAGGAGCCUGUAAAACAAGAAGACAAGAUCAUCCAGCUACACAGGCUGAUGCUGCGUGCCAAACCGAACCAGAAUCCCAAUAAUAUCUGAUCAUCCUCCUGUCAGCAACAAAUGGGUCUGAGGCCUCAACUUAAGUGUCUUACAUUAAAGUGUGACAAGGUACAGCCCGGACCACACGGUGUACUUUCGAUAGUGAGCAGGACAAAAUUUAUUGUCGGCAAUUGGCUCUUCCCACGCGGAUUGCCCAAAAGAUGCGUCAGGUUUUGUGCCCGAUUGCGCAAAAAACCUUGCUUUCCUGAAAGCUGCUGGGGAUCGCCCAGUGGCGUAACUAGAUAGGACGGCGCCCAUGGCAAAUAUAUUUCCGCGCCCUUC